GAGUCGAGGCAGCACAUAUACUAAAAUUGGAACGAUACAGAGAAGAUUAGCAUGGCCCCUGCGCAGGAUUAAUUAGUAAGUCUGGUAUAACCCACAUACUCUC